rnacentral:misc_RNA from 1 species
GAAAUGCGAUAAGUAGUGUGAAUUGCAGAAUUUAGUGAAUCAUCGAAUCUUUGAACGCACAUUGCGCCCUUUGGUAUUCCUUAGGGCAUGCCUGUUCGAGCGUCAUCUAACCCCUCAAGCUCAGCUUGGUGUUGGGCGCCUGUCCCCGCCCCCCUUCGGGCGCGGGACUCGCCUCAAAUGCAUUGGCGGCCGGUACCUUGGCUUCGAGCGCAGCAGAAACGCGGUCUCGGGGCCUUGGGAUCAGCUCCCAGAAGCCAACUCCAUCUUUUGACCUCGGAUCAGGUAGGGAUACCCGCUGAACUUAA